rnacentral:rRNA from 1 species
AAUUUAAAUCCCUUAACGAGGAACAAUUGGAGGGCAAGUCUGGUGCCAGCAGCCGCGGUAAUUCCAGCUCCAAUAGCGUAUAUUAAAGUUGUUGUGGUUAAAAAGCUCGUAGUUGAACCUUGGGCCUGGCUGGCCGGUCCGCCUCACCGCGUGUACUGGUCCGGCCGGGCCUUUCCCUCUGUGGAACCCCAUGCCCUUCACUGGGUGUGGCGGGGAAACAGGACUUUUACUGUGAAAAAAUUAGAGUGCUCCAGGCAGGCCUAUGCUCGAAUACAUUAGCAUGGAAUAAUAGAAUAGGACGUGUGGUUCUAUUUUGUUGGUUUCUAGGACCGCCGUAAUGAUUAAUAGGGACAGUCGGGGGCAUCAGUAUUCAAUUGUCAGAGGUGAAAUUCUUGGAUUUAUUGAAGACUAACUACUGCGAAAGCAUUUGCCAAGGAUGUUUUCAUUAAUCAGGAACGAAAGUUAGGGGAUCGAAGACGAUCAGAUACCGUCGUAGUCUUAACCAUAAACUAUGCCGACUAGGGAUCGGACGGUGUUA